GCGGCCCUUUCGGGAAGGUUCUGUGUCGCACCAGCGUUUCCUUCCUCCGCCAGGGAAAUCCUGUCCGGCUGCCUGGAGGUUCUUCUCGUUGAGACGGGUUCUAACGGGCAGCGCAAGGGCGGAAUAGACGGCUCCGAGCCGCAGAGUGGGACAGAAGGGACUGCCAGGAAGAUCUUCGUGCCUGCAGCGCUGCUGCCAGAGUUACAGAGAAACCUGCCGCCUCUCCUCUCUCUCUUGUGAUCACCUGGAGAGGAGAGUGCCCACUUUCACCGCUGCCUCCUGCUCUGCCUGCUCCUGCUUUCAGCAUGGUAAAGAAGAAUACUAUCCCUGAUGGGUAAGUAUUCCUCACACUAAGCAAGAGGCAGGAGCGGGCAUCCCACAGAGAGGGGCACUGACUGCCCCAGGCGCUUUCUUGCCUCAAGCAUCUUCACCACCUACAGACAGGUUAAGGUAGGUAUCUUCUCCAAAACAGGAACAGCCCAGCCAUUCAUUCCCCAGGUGAGUAUAAUGCUCCAGCCUGUCUGUGAACACUUCUCCUUCAUCGGCCACACACAGUUCCUUCUUCCUAAUCUUUUUACCCCCAAGUGUAUGUGUACUGGGGAAAUGGGAGAGAAGUCCAUACUCCUGGCUACUCGUGUUUGCUACUAGGAAUGGUGGAAGAGUUGUAAAGAUGAGGGCAGGUGGUUGCAUGCACAAGAUCAAGGAAUGUUUUUGUGAAUUCAGAUCUAGAAACAUCCUGUGGUUUUGUUUCUAACAAGAGGACAACAGAAAUGUUGUAUCAGCAAAAAUAAUCCCAAAUUAUUCCAAAUGCACUAUACAGGCCAUAUGAUGACUUGAUCAUAUGUGCAUAUGUGGACCACAGAAUGACAUCAUUUAAAACAGAUACAGUUCUAUUCUUCAGCUCUAAUAAAGCACAAGAAGAGAAGUCCAAGUUAAGAGUUUUAACCCAUGUGUUCUUGAUGGCAUCAAUACAAACUUUUUGGAUAGGAGGGUAUGCUGAGAUAUAAAGGCACACUGUAAUGGGGCAAUAACUUGCAGUUUAUACAUUUUUUGAGAAAGAAUUACAUUAUGCUGGCUUCAGGGGGAGUGUUAAGUAGGUUUAUUAAGAGCAUUCUUAGGAGGAGCAAUAAGAUACAAAAUACAUGCUCUCCUGUAAUAUUUGUCGGUCCAAAAACCAGUAAAAAGAAACAAAAGAUGAACAGAAUUUAAAAAAUCAAGAUGCUGAAGUGUUUUCCAUGGCUGACAAACUCAUGGAUUAAAAUUAGAAUAAACUUUUUAAAAAGCUGUUUAAAAAUGUCUUUCUCUAAAAAUUUCAAUGAAAUUUUAGUUACGUGUUGGAUAAAAGUGAGCUAAAGUGGGUUAGGUUUUAAGCAGCGAUUCAGAAAUUGGGAAAAAAUUGGUCGUCCUUGUUUUCUUCAUCCUUGGAAAUUGCUACUAAAAUUUUGAGAAUCAGAUGCUUAUUUCUCCAUUCUUA